CCUAUGAAUUUCUUUUAUUGACAACAUGAAUUAGUCUAUUUUAGUUCAUCUCUUUCUUGUCACAAAUUUAAAUGAAUAUAAUUGUUUGUUUCAGUGGCAAUUUUGUGAAGCCCAAAGGUUCCAAGUCACCAUGAGAAAAUUGAAAUGGCGAGAUCUCUUAAUCUAAUUGUUGCACCUUGGAAGGCCUGAACCAUCAGAGUUUAAUUGUAUCACCCAUUUACACAAGUUCCUACCAUCAGAGUUCAACUGUAUCACCCAUCCAUAAGCAAUUCCUUGUGUUGAAAUUUAUGAGAAGACAUAUGCCUCUGUUAAGGAUAUAAUGCACAUGGGUUAGUUCAUCUCUUUUUCUUUUGCACCCAGACCCGUGGAUCCAGUUGCUUUUGCAAGGGAAAGAGAUAUGCCUUCUGAUUCAGAUAGGACCUUAAAUGAAGACAAACGUUUCAUAUCUUG